GCAGUGCCAUAUCUGGCCUGGAGUUGGGACCAUAUGCUCUGUGCAGUGUCAGAGUACUGCACAGAUUCAGCAAUUGCAGGGGAAAUGGAAGCAGUCAACCAAGAAAUCACCAUGUUGUUGCACCUAUCCCACAACCUCUGUUGAGCCACAUUGGUGGUAGGUCGGGAGUAUGUGCCUUCAACAAAACAGAUUUUGUUUUUG
rnacentral:lncRNA from 1 species